GACGAACGCUGGCGGCGUGCCUAAUACAUGCAAGUCGAGCGAGCGGAACUAACAGAUUUACUUCGGUAAUGACGUUAGGAAAGCGAGCGGCGGAUGGGUGAGUAACACGUGGGGAACCUGCCCCAUAGUCUGGGAUACCACUUGGAAACAGGUGCUAAUACCGGAUAAGAAAGCAGAUCGCAUGAUCAGCUUUUAAAAGGCGGCGUAAGCUGUCGCUAUGGGAUGGCCCCGCGGUGCAUUAGCUAGUUGGUAAGGUAAAGGCUUACCGAGGCGAUGAUGCAUAGCCGAGUUGAGAGACUGAUCGGCCACAUUGGGACUGAGACACGGCCCAAACUCCUACGGGAGGCAGCAGUAGGGAAUCUUCCACAAUGGACGCAAGUCUGAUGGAGCAACGCCGCGUGAGUGAAGAAGGUUUUCGGAUCGUAAAGCUCUGUUGUUGGUGAAGAAGGAUAGAGGUAGUAACUGGCCUUUAUUUGACGGUAAUCAACCAGAAAGUCACGGCUAACUACGUG
rnacentral:rRNA from 1 species